AUUCUUCCUAAUAUAAUCAAAACUUCCUCUGUCUUAUUAUAGACGGAUUAAAAGAAUGAAGCCUGCCUCUCUCAUCAGACAUUGGUAUCCCGGAGAUUAGCACAAAUAAUUUAUCUUGAACCAGAAUCCUAAGGUCUUAGAUGAAUGUCUCUUUGUUGAAAGAAAACUGUUUCAUAAAGAUUGAAAAUGCCUUUUUCUGAGUCAAUGCAUAACUGUUCUGUUGGAACGUAAGGCAAAGGUAUUUACUCGCUUUAUUAUUAUUUUAUGCAAUAGUCAAUAUUUAGCAGUAUUUUUUUCAGUUUAAAUGAAGAAUAAACUGGGAAGUGAUGACCAAAGUGCAUAGUUCACCUGAAGUGUUUUCACUUGUGACGACCCAUUAGCUCUAUCUGAUUCCAGUUUCAUUAAAAGUUUAAAAUUUGUAAAUGGAUUUGCUGUAAAAGCUCAACAUUUUCUAUUUCCUAUUUGCUAAACAUAGGUGUGAAGACUCGAAAAAGAUAAAAACAAAAAACCAUUGGGUAAUCACUUGAUUGAAUUCUGCUCUUGUAAGUAUAUGAAAGUAACAUUGAUUUUUGUGUUAUUUUUCUGCAAUCAAAGAAAGUUGAUCAGAAUUGUAGUUUACAUCAAUUGUUACAGUUGAUUUCACAAAACUUUUACCAAAUUGUUCUGAACAAACUUCAAAACAUUUUUUCGAAGUCCAAAACUUCUUCAUUGAAGUUCACAAGCCGGUCUGUAAACAAAGCCUCUAAUUGGUCUGUGAAUUGCAAGAGCAAAUGCUUAGUUUUGUAAACCUAUGAAUUUUGGAACUUCCCAACAAAUUUGAAACAUUUUGGCAGAGGUUAAGUGAAAUUGUAAGUACUUGUCCUUGAUUGGCUCAGCGUGUAAAUGCAAAUGAUGACUUCAGAAUAGGGACAUAUGAAUAUCCCAUGAUUCAAAAAAUUUCUGGAUAACAUUUUUCCUGAUGCAAAUGCACUUCAGCCAAUGUUAUAAGUUUUGCAUAGUAUUAAAAAGUUACUUAGAGUAAGUUUGUAACAUCUUGUUUUCUAUUAUAUAUCUUAAGAAAUGGAGGAAGUUAUCAAUGGAGGAAGUUGCAUUAAGUAUAUUAUAAGGUAUGGUAUAAUUUUAGAUGGUACAUUCACAUGUUCAUUUAUUUGCCUAUGAUGUAAUCUAUAUUUGCUACUCUUGAUGUCACAAGAUGAUGAGUAACCACCAAGAUCUCUGAGGCAAAUGUUGAAUUUUUAAUUCAACAACAUGUAUGUGCAAGGGUGAUGACCUAACUUGGUUUUUUUCUUGAUAGGAGAUCCUAGGGCCUUGAAAGUUCCUGCCUAUUCAACAUCUCAGAAGCAAGAAAAUACUUCUUAUGUAACACUUUGUUAAAAUGACCACGUAACAAAUUAAUCGAUAAAAAUUGAAAUCACC